AGGAUUUAGCAAACAGUUUUUUAUUAUUAUUAUUAUUAUUAUUAUUAUUAUUAUUAUAUGUCUAUUAGAUGUCUAAUCCCCAUUAAUGCUCCACACCCACCCAACAGUUGGUGGCGGUAAUGCACCAUGUUGGAUGCCAACCGCCAAUAAAAUUAAAAAAGAAGACGACGGUUGGAAAGGUUAAGAAAUCAAAAGAGGGGGACUAUGAGUACAUAUGCGUCAUGGUUGACUAUUUUACGAAAUGGUCAGAAGCAUUCCCUCUGAAAUCCAAAAGUGCAGAGGAAGUAACCAUGUGCAUUGUUAAACUCUUUUAUCGAUUUGGAGCACCAAAAAUAAUCUUGACAGACAACAGAAGAGAGUUUGUAGGCUAAACCAGGUUAGUGCCAGUAUGAAAUAUCAGUGAUAGAUGUAAUUAUUGUUAACACUUCUAAUUAAUUCUGUUGACUCCACAUAUUUAGAUCAAUGAGGGCUUAUGUAAAUACCUGGGCAUAAAGCGCAGCCUUUGUGCACCCUACCAUCCCCAGACCAAUGGUUUGGUGGGAAAACUCAAUGACCCCAUCCAGAGAUGCCUCAGCACACUUGUCAAAAAUAGUCCGGAGACCUGGGCAGAUUAUCUUGAAUCAACAAUGUUUGCACUGAGGACCAAGAAGCAGUUAACUACCUGCUUCUCACCUUAUUAUUUAAUGUUUGGGAGAGAAGCUAGGUAUCCCAGUGGAAUAGCACACAGUUAUGAGGUUGAUGACUCCAUUGAGGACCUGGUGGCUGA